UACAGGUAGUUACCUGAUCCGGUGCCAUUGCAGGAUCAGAGGUGCCAAGCACCACAAAUCCACUAAGAUAACAAGCAUGAGGCCUUGGACCUUGUGUGGGGAAAGAAAUGCCAUCAAGAGCCACCACCUUUCCUCUACAGAAUGAAGAAUCAUGAAAGACCCUUGAGGGGCGAGUUCUUGCACCAGGUGCUCAGCUGCUAUCCCUCAGAAACAAUCACAGAACAGUGAACACCACACAUGCCCAGGGUCAUCACUUCAGAGACCUUCUCACAAACAGCCUUGUGGCAGUCCUGGGUACCAGGAAAUGGGGUGGGACAUCCAGCCAACUUUUACCUGAGGCCUACUCGGCUUUCAUGUCUAGACCCAACCCAGCCUCUGGAAGAAAAACGAAAUAAACCAUACAUUUUCCUGCAGAGUUCCCUAA